rnacentral:lncRNA from 1 species
AUGUUUGCAUAUUUCUUUUUAAAUAUUUGUAGCUAUUUUCAUAGCUCUGUGAUGUGCAUCUGCAGCUGGCUUGUAAAGCUCUUCAAUAAUUUCUUUGGUUACCGCCCACCCCUGCAUCCCUCCCACUCAUAUAAGCCAUUCAGAGUUUACUACUUAAAGUCUUUGAACGAUUGCAGUAUGACUCCAUUUCCCUGGUGCAUUCAUAUAAUAGUUCACCUGGUGAAAAUAAUGAAGACUAUUUACAAUGCUACCCUGCUUUUUCUGAUGUCCUGCACCUGGAAGUUGUGCUUUUUAAGAUGGAGCCACUGUCGCUCAGGCUGA